rnacentral:rRNA from 1 species
GCGACGCUCCAGGCGACGACGGGUAGCCGGCCUGAGAGGGCGACCGGCCACACUGGGACUGAGACACGGCCCAGACUCCUACGGGAGGCAGCAGUGGGGAAUAUUGCACAAUGGGCGAAAGCCUGAUGCAGCGACGCCGCGUGAGGGAUGACGGCCUUCGGGUUGUAAACCUCUUUCAGCAGGGAAGAAGCGAAAGUGACGGUACCUGCAGAAGAAGCGCCGGCUAACUACGUGCCAGCAGCCGCGGUAAUACGUAGGGCGCAAGCGUUGUCCGGAAUUAUUGGGCGUAAAGAGCUCGUAGGCGGCUUGUCGCGUCGAUUGUGAAAGCCCGGGGCUUAACUCCGGGUCUGCAGUCGAUACGGGCAGGCUAGAGUGUGGUAGGGGAGAUCGGAAUUCCUGGUGUAGCGGUGAAAUGCGCAGAUAUCAGGAGGAACACCGGUGGCGAAGGCGGAUCUCUGGGCCAUUACUGACGCUGAGGAGCGAAAGCGUGGGGAGCGAACAGGAUUAGAUACCCUGGUAGUCCACGCCGUAAACGGUGGGCACUAGGUGUUGGCGACAUUCCACGUCGUCGGUGCCGCAGCUAACGCAUUAAGUGCCCCGGGGGGGAGGAGAAACGGGGG